UACGUAGGGUGCAAGCGUUGUCCGGAAUUAUUGGGCGUAAAGAGCUCGUAGGUGGCUUGUCGCGUCGGCUGUGAAAACUCGGGGCUCAACUCCGAGCUUGCAGUCGAUACGGGCAGGCUAGAGUUCGGCAGGGGAGACUGGAAUUCCUGGUGUAGCGGUGAAAUGCGCAGAUAUCAGGAGGAACACCGGUGGCGAAGGCGGGUCUCUGGGCCGAUACUGACACUGAGAAGCGAAAGCAUGGGGAGCGAACAGG
rnacentral:rRNA from 1 species